CUACGGGGGGCACCAGUGGGGGAUAUUGCGCAAUGGGCGAAAGCCUGAUGCAGCAACGCCGCGUGAAGGAAGACGGAUUUCGGUCUGUAAACUUCUAUCAGCUGGGAAGAAAAUGACGGUACCAGACUAAGAAGCCCCGGCUAACUACGUGCCAGCAGCCGCGGUAAUACGUAGGGGGCAAGCGUUAUCCGGAUUUACUGGGUGUAAAGGGUACGUAGGCGGUCGCUUAAGUCAGAUGUGAAAGCCCGAAGCUCAACUUCGGGAUGCAUUUGACACUGGGUGACUAGAGUACAGGAGAGGAAAGCGGAAUUCCUAGUGUAGCGGUGAAAUGCGUAGAUAUUAGGAAGAACACCAGUGGCGAAGGCGGCUUUCUGGACUGUAACUGACGCUGAGGUACGAAAGCGUGGGGAGCGAACAGGAUUAGAUACCCGCGUAGUC
rnacentral:rRNA from 1 species